rnacentral:rRNA from 1 species
AUUGAACGCUGGCGGCAGGCCUAACACAUGCAAGUCGAACGGUAACAGGAAACAGCUUGCUGUUUCGCUGACGAGUGGCGGACGGGUGAGUAAUGUCUGGGAAACUGCCUGAUGGAGGGGGAUAACUACUGGAAACGGUAGCUAAUACCGCAUAACGUCGCAAGACAAAAGUGGGGGACCUUCGGGCCUCUUGCCAUCGGAUGUGCCCAGAUGGGAUUAGCUAGUAGGUGGGGUAACGGCUCACCUAGGCGACGAACCCUAGCUGGUCUUAGCGGAUGACCAGCCACACUGGAACUGAGACACGGUCCAGACGCCUACGGGAGGCAGCAGUGGUGAAGAUUGAACAACGAGCGCGAGCCUGAUGCAGCCAUGCCGCGUGUAUGAAGAUGGCCUUCGGGUUUGAAAGUACUUUCAGCGGGGAUGAAGGUAGUAAAGUUAAUACCUUCGCUCAUUGACGUUACCCGCAGAAGAAGCACCGGCUAACUCCGUG